CCUACGGGUGGCAGCAGUAGGGAAUAUUGCUCAAUGGGGGAAACCCUGAAGCAGCAACGCCGCGUGGAGGAUGAAGGUUUUAGGAUUGUAAAAUCCUUUUGUUAGAGAAGAUUAUGACGGUAUCUAACGAAUAAGCACCGGCUAACUCCGUGCCAGCAGCCGCGGUAAUACGGAGGGUGCAAGCGUUACUCGGAAUCACUGGGCGUAAAGAGUGAGUAGGCGGGGGAAUAAGUCUGAUGUGAAAUCCUGUAGCUUAACUACAGAACUGCAUUUGAAACUGUUACUAUUGAGUGUAGGAGAGGUAGGUGGAAUUCUUGGUGUAGGGGUAAAAUGCGUAGAGAUCAAGAGGAAUACUCAUUGCGAAGGCGACCUGCUGGAACAUUACUGACGCUGAUGCACGAAAGCGUGGGGAGCAAACAGGAUUAGAUACCCCAGUAGUC
rnacentral:rRNA from 1 species